AAAGUUUGACAGACAAUCGCUGGCGGCUUUGGCCGCGAGAGGAAAGUCCGGGCUCCACAGGGCAGGAUGCUGGAUAACGUCCAGUCAGCGCGAGCUGAAGGAUAGUGCCACAGAAACGGACCGCCGAUGGCCGGCAUGCCGGCACAGGCAAGGGUGGAACCGUGGUGUAAGAGACCACGAGGAGCAUUGGUGACAAUGUUCCUGGUAAACCCCAUCCGGAGCAAGACCUAAGAGGACAUCGCGGCGGCUUUGCCGCUGCAACCCUGGCCCGGGGUAUGUCCGGGUUGGUCGCUUGAGCCGUUCAGCAAUGGACGGCCUAGAUAGAUGAUUGUCGCUUCAAUGGUGGGAGGGUCGUUCCCGUUCGCACCACCGGAAGUACAGAACCCGGCUUAUGGCAAACUUUCCGA
rnacentral:RNase_P_RNA from 2 species